GAAGCAGGACAAAUCCAAGCUGAAGCUAAGCAUCAAGAAAUGAUUCAAGUUGGGUCAUCUUCUAUUUCCAGUAGAGAGAAUGGAGACUUGCAGGUCAUACAAUAUGUGUUUGAAUAUCUAAGGAUGCAGCACUCAAAGGCGGUAUAGGUCACUUCUUGAACUUUGUCCAUCACCAAAAAAAAAAAAAAAAAAGAAGAGAAAAUUAUAUGUCUGACCUGGAAUCCUGUGAGAAGGUAUAAUUUUCCAACUCUUUAUAGAAAAGUUUCUUUGUCAGCAUGAUUGCUUUGUUUUCUUCUCGCCAUGUCAAUUUGACUUCUGUUAUCACAAAUGAUAAGUGUUUAUUCCUGUUCACAUUGGAGCAAACCCAAAUGGUGGACAUUUUUAUUUAUACAUUAUCCAUUUACAGAACGAAGAGACUGAAAUAUGGGAUUCUCUACUCGAUACAUUUGUGACUGAAACAGAACACAAUGAGACAAUAAAAAAAUUGUUGCUUGCCAUGGAAAAACUCAUCGUGAAUGUAGCAUUUACGAAAUUUCGUUCCAAGAUGGAAAACGCCAUCCUCCCACAGCGCAAUGGAUUUGACUGUGGUAUCUUUGUUAUGAAGUUCAUGGAACAACCAGAUAAUUAUGUGAAGAGAAAUCCUUCAUUUCUGGUAUGCCUCUUACAAACAUAUAAUCGUAGACUCAUAGUUUGACAGUGAAAAAGAAAAGGAGGAUUUGGCUAUGAAGUUGCUCAACAGUGACCUGAACCCAGAAAAACAAAAUCUAUAUGACAAAGCAAGACGCCACUACGCACAAGUUGAAAAGCAAGAUGGCAAUAAAAGAUUACGAGUUGCCAGAGUAAAUAGACAAGAUCGUUUAGAAGAAAAUUUAAUUGGGUGCGAUUCUCAAAAUGAUGAUAAACAAAUAUGGGAGUGGAUAACGGGUGACAAGGUGUCAGUAAUUGGCGUUUGAGGAAUAGCGGGUUCAAGAAAAAUAACCUUAGCAACCCAUAUUCAUGAUAAGCUUUUAGAAGAAGCCAAUGGUGACAUUAAAGUUAUUUGGGUGACUGUAUCACAAAAUAUCAACUUGUACAAGUUGUAAAAAGUCAUAGCUAAAUCAAUUAAGUUGGAUAUAUCUGAUGAGCCUUGUAAAAGAAUUGCCAGAAAAUUAUUUCAAGCCUUCAAGGAGAUGAAGAAGUGUAUUAUUAUCUCAGAUGACAUUUGGGAUCAUUUCUCUCUAAAGGACCUUAGAUUUCCUAUGUCAAGUAAUCGAAUUAAAUUGAUUUUGACCACUCGGAUAAGGGAAGUGUGUCAACAUAUGGACUGCAAGAAGGUAGUAAAAGUGGUAGGUCUAAAUUUACAAGAUUCUUGGGAUUUGUUCAGAAAGUUUUCGGGAGUCCAUGAAGAAUUGUUUUUGGAAGAGAGCUUGGUAAAGAAAGUGGUAUCGGCAUGUAAUGGUUCGCCCCUAGCUAUUGUUAGAAUCGCAACAGGCAUGAAGGGCAAAACGCAGGUUAGAGAAUGUUGACGAACUCAUGGCCCUUGUGCAGAACAGCUAUUUUGACCCUGCUAUUGAAAUUCCCAUGUUGACAUAUGUUGAAUUAUUGGACCUGCCACAAUUAUAUCUCAUAUGCAGAGGCCUCGAGCUCUGCCUUUCUCUCUAAACAUCCUCUGCUGAAUCUUGCAAUCAAUUAAGACCCCCUCAGAGAGUGAACUCCAAUAAUGGAAGUGUGCUUCUAAAUAAGACGACCCUGGAUGGGUGCUACUGGGAAGUGACUAAUCAGGUCCGUAUGUGCCCCCGCUGUUUGACUUCAUUUUAUAUUAUGU